UACAUGGGGUGCAAACGUUGCUCGGAAUUAUUGGGCGUAAAGCGCGCGUAGGCGGUUACUCAAGUCGGAUGUGAAAGCUUUUGGCUUAACUGAGGAAGUGCACCCGAAACUGAGUAGCUAGAGUACUAAAGAGGGUCGCGGAAUUCCCGGUGUAGAGGUGAAAUUCGUAGAUAUCGGGAGGAACACCGGUGGCGAAGGCGGCGACCUGGGUAGAAACUGACGCUGAGGCGCGAAAGCGUGGGGAGCAAACAGG
rnacentral:rRNA from 1 species